rnacentral:tRNA from 1 species
GCCGGAGUGGCGGAAUCGGUAGACGCAGCGGAUUCAAAAUCCGCCGCCCUUAAAAGCGUGUGGGUUCGAGUCCCACCUCCGGCACCA